CAUUAUCGCUCACAACUAUUUCACUUAUUUGAUGAUAUUUGACAAUAUGUGUGGGGUUUUUUAUGUCGUUAUAUGGUAAAAUCUUGUCAGCGCGUUACUAGUAUUGACAGUAAUUUUGUGUCACCAAUUGGCUAGCAUCGCUCACUUGGAAAGUGGCUGACGCAGGGCUUGUGGCAUGCCCUAUAUGUCUGUAACUGUUACACUUGAUUUGUGUUAUUUAUAUUUUAUUUUUGUUUACAUAAUUUAAUUAGGUCAAUUUGUUUUCGGAAUAUCAAGGAACUCAGUUUCAAUAUUUGUUGCACCCGAAACCGUUUCGUUUGCGUUCUCUCUUCUUACGGACGCAAAGGGAGAAGGAAAAGUGAAAAGGAGGGGGAGUAGCCAGCUAAAGGCAGAAAAAGAGUAUUAUUUAAUUUUUGACCUUUCUGAGACUGAUAUUCUCUUUAAGAGGACUCAUUCCCUCUCGGUUGUGUGCAGCCAGCGAGUUCGACGGUGGAUAUACGAAAGGAGAAUCUGUCGAUGCUGUUUAAAGACGACGAAAGAUUGUAAAAGAAUAAAUCCUUCAGUAACCAGAAGAACCAAGGUGUCGCGUGUUUACUGGAGGUCAAGAUGCACAAGAAAGUGGUGUUCACAGGGAAAAUCCGUGUUGUGUUCUGCAAGGGACUACUCGGGUUUCUCCUGCAGGAGCCAUCUGAAGAAGCCAGACGGAUUAAGGAUAACCCCACUCUGCAGGACAAGUCUGUACCCAUGAGGGAGGACCUUGUGCAGCAGAGUGCUCUGGCUGUGGUCCAUCAGAGAGGAGGGGAUGCCUCAGACUGGAAGGAGGUGUUGGGGGAUUACAUCCUGCAGUUUGGAAAGUGUAAAGGUGAACUCUUUCAGGUGGCUUUUGGAGAAUGAUGUCGGGUACACUAUGUACCUUAUCACGAACCUCUAGAUGGAGGGAGCUGAGCAGCAUAGCAAGGACAGCCUACUGUCACUUGUGAAUUAUGCUCUCAAUUUUGCAGCGAUCCAGUCUCUUCUUGCUUAUGAGGCUAGUGGCAUGAGUGUUGGGCCAGCAUCAUCAGAAGAUGAUCAGCUGGUUGGCAUUUGCUCCCAGGCCAAGAGCACCUGGAAGGAGAUAUGGGAUAGCAGGGCUGAUGGUUACGCAGACUUCAUCAUAGGGAAGAGAUGCAUCCCAGGGUCACGAAUGUACAAGCUGCAGCAGUAUCUGCAGAAGAGGCAGCAAUCUGCUACUGCUCCUACACCUGGAGUGCAUGCCUCAAGGAUCCCAGAUAAUCCCAUGGUGAUGGAUGAGGAUGAAGACUUGGAGAGGGCGAUGUUGAGUAUAACAUCAUCUAAACUACAAGUGCAGAGCUUUGCUGUACCAGCAGCAGCAACAGUAGCAGCAGCUGCCAUACCCGGAGUGUCAUCUGAAGCAAAGACAGGUUUUCAAAUAAAAUGUUUCAGCACUGGAGUGCAGUUCUUUCACGUGACGAAUUUCUCUCCAAAACUGAACUUUGACUUUAACUGCUGUAUUGACUGUCUUCUGGCCAUGUUCUGGCCAUGUUCCUCUAACAAUAUGGUUGUGUGCUGGUGUUAUACUAACUGUCCUAAGGACUAUGAAAUGAUGCCUACCAUGAUGAACUGAGGCCAACCACAAUGAGGGUAAAUAUGCACUUUUCCUCUCAAUACAUAUUGGACAAACUAAGCAGAGUUGGAUACUAACGCAUGAAUGCAUGCUUGUUCAUUGGGUCAUAUUGCUCCUCCUGCUUAGACUAGCACGUAGUGAUUAGGAUAGCAAGUUUAUUUGGUGUGUCUGUGGAAAUGAGCUGUUUUAAAUUUGUGAAGCUAUGGGAAGUGGCAGAAGUAACAGUAUAGCUGUUGGAGUUCCUACUAACACCAUUAGUAAAAUUAUAAAUUCUCAAAUGACCAUUUUGUCUGUUGUAGUUCCACCUGUGGCACUGUCCAAACCGCCUCCUGAUAUAACUGCUGAACUGCACGCAUUACCAAUUGAUGCUCCAGCCUCACUAAGUGUGCAGAGAAAGACACCUGUGCCCCUUCCACCUGAGCUGGUGUUCCUCCUGAAGGAGACAGCAGGUCCCACAACGGCAGAGACGCCCCAGUCAGCUCCAGGACCCAGCAUAGGUGCUACUUGCACCUCUGCACCCAAAAUACUUACUUUUGAGGACAGUGGUGAAGAUGUUCCCUCAGCCCAGCCACCUGUUCUUGUUUCCCUGUCUGGGCAUGCACAUGAUAUGAGCAACUGGAGCUGUUCUCAACAUCAGAAGCUACACAGAGCUUCAGGAUCACGGGCUGUGGCCUGGGUUGCGCCCAUUGCGUAACACAGGGAUCACAAUUUCAUUGUGGCGUCUUCCUCCACAACCUGAGCUCAUUGAUACCGUUGCGGACCUCCCAUCUCCCAACUUCUUCUAGCUGCACCCAUUUUUCACUUGGAAGCCCAAGAGCAUCCUCAUGGUCAGGUUGAGGAACAACUACAGCCUACCAUGUCUCCAUGGCUGUCCUCAUCCGCAGAUAGUUUCUGCUGGUGUGGGCAGGCCUCGGGUGGUUGUUGGCACUGGUGGACAGUAUUAUAUCUUGUCCUUACGACUGUCCUGCAAAGCCUGUCGGAGAAACUGGUUUGCUGACAGUCCACAAUGGCUGGAGAAGCUGCCCAAACGGUUUACAAACAUUCUGCCUGCAUUCCUGACUUAUAAGAAGGCCAUCUGCAAGUCUGUGAUGGACGAGCUGAGGCGGACAGGAAAGUCACCAACAGAUAUGGCAAACCUGGUGAGCGAGCUCACCUGGCAUAACUGCAUGCAAUAGAGAGUGUCAGGGAUGCUGAGGCUGGUGUAUAUGGGCAGAGGACUAUUGGGUAGUUCCUGAGGAAGGAAAAUAUGCCACAUCCAUUUGGGCCAUAUGAAAAUCCAGAUGGCUGGGGUGGAGUUUGUGUCCGGUUUCUACCUGACUGACUGCCUGCUAGAGGAGUUCAGACGUCAAGAGCCAGCCAUAUCCAAACUGCAAACUGUCCAGGGUACUUUUGGCCAAGUCUGACCAUACGGGGACGGUUGCUCAAAAAGUAACACUGGCAUCUGGGGUCAUGUCCAGUUAUGCCAUUAUGAACGAAAAUUGGAUGUUUCCUGGGUGAUGGUUCAGUCUGAGAGGUCCUUGGCGCCAAUGUACCAGGGAUUGGCCAAGUGGUACAGUGAUGCUGGAGUGGAAAAUGCAGGCUACCACUGGGUGGACAGGGAAUGCUGUGCUCCAUUUAAGAUCCCGGACUGCAGUCCAAGUGCACAUCUACACUGGGAUGCAUGGAAGAGUACCCUUUCCAUUAUUGCUGGGGCCACUUCUGGGCCACUGGUGAAUACUUGUGCCUCACGGUCAUAUUACAAUUCCAACAUCAUUGUGAAGCUGGACUUGUUUCGCUCCCUGAGGCGUUUUUCACUGGAGUGCACCUCUAAGCAUCAACCUCUAUUUAGCACUUUCUGUCAGCUCCUCUGCUGCCUUCUCUGUGGUGGAUCAAGAGAACCAAAAGAAACUGCAGGACGCCUACGAGUUCUAUGGUAUCAGUCCUGCCAAUCCCACAAAACAACACAUACGGGAGCACUGCAGGACCAAAAUAUCACAACCCACAGAGCUGCUGGACAGAGUAGAGAAAGUUUUGAAGCAUUUUCACCUGGCCACGGACCCCAACAACGUCCUACUCUUCAAGCCAACUAUGCUGAAGACGUGGUGCAUUCAGAGUGUGCACAUCCUCCGCGGUUGCCUCAGUGAUCCCGAAUUCUCUGAGGGCAUAAUGUACAGAUAUGCUGGAACUCUUCAGUUGAACUCUGUACCUGGUAAAGUGGCCAAAGUCCCCAUCUGGAUCCCUGUCAGGGGUACCUCACAACAGGAGGGGUACCACUUCUACCAGGCCCAGUGGAUCACCGGGACUCAUGUCUCCACUGAAUUGUUCCAGGCCCAAGGCAUGACAGGGGUGGCACGGUGGAACUACCAACGGCUGGUGGACCUUAAGCAACCAGGUGUCAUCCUCCCUGCUGUCUUCGAUCCAGUUUUAAUGGCUUGAGUUGAACUCUGCCUCCCAGAGUGUCACUGGGCAGAAGAAGUACCCCGUACUUCAUCUCUCUGAUAAAGACACUGGAGAGAACUUUGGCCUACAGUACAGAGAACUAGGCUGCCAGCCAGUUCCUCUGGAUUGGGACAAACACAGAACCCAAAAGAGAGAUGAACCAGCUGCUCCUGUGCCUCCAUCCCCUGUGCAGAUACCUGCUCCUGCCCAAGCUUCAAACCCGGCAUCCUCGGCAUCCCCUGGACCAGCACCAUCCAUCAGCCAUCCACUUUCUGCUGCUGUGCUGCUGAAGCAGGAGAUGCUGUCUGAAGAUAACCAGGAACCUCCAGCAGCAAUGGAACCCUCACAUGCCCUGCCCCUGCCUCUGAGAUCCUCACCAAGGAGUGCCCGCACUGGACCCAUAAAGACGGGUGGAUGCGUUAUUGUAUUGGACCACACACGCUGGACACCACCCAUGAAAGAAGCCAUUGGCUGCUUGCUGCAGAAAGUACCAUGGGCAGAAGGACAUUCUGAAGCUUGUGGAUCAAGAAUAUGCAAACAUGGUCCAUCAGUCUGCCGCAGAUCCCAACAGCUUGCUGCACCCCACAACCAGGCUACAUAUAUCCCGCUAUGUGAAGCACCUGGCAAAACUUCUUAACACUAGUUCUUGUUUGAACACAAGCCAGGAAAAACUUUGAGACCCAGCAGCUAUGGCACUCUAACAGAGGGGAGCAGGACAGCUAGUGUUCCUGUGGUCACCAUGGAGCCGGCUAUUGUCAACUCACAUGCACCUGCCAUGUCCACACCUCUGACAAAAGACUCCAUUGAGAGAACUGUGGAGGGCAUCUUGGACAAGCAGCAGCGGUUUCAGCAACACCAGCCGGAGCAGAAGAGAAAGCAGACAAAGACCUGUCUUGCCUGUGGACAGCCCAAGUCUCGAUAUGAGACUGAUGGAUCCUCCAUCCACUUUUUCUAUCAACAAGGGCCUGUGCGCUAUUUCUCUUGCUCAAAGAAGGUGUAUCAAAGUUAUGCUGUUGAGGGUCUCUCUAACUGAAGUAUUGCUUUGGAUGUUUAUAUGAUUAAAUGUUUGCUAAACUUCUAAAUAGAUGGAAAUAUUAAAAUGUGCAGAUAUGUUCAUAAUAAAUUGUAUGCACAUAUUUUGGAAUAUUUUGUUUUACACAUGUACAAUGUGCUCUUAUUUAGUCAUUUAGAGCACAUAGAUACAUGUAUAUUUGUGUAUGUUUGUUAUUUUAACCGAAUGCUGGCUUUAAAUGUUCCAUAUUAUUUCGAUAAAGCCUCCUUUGGAGUACAGUCCAUGCUUUCACGUUUGCGUAAAACACUAAGAUACAUAAAAAAUGCUACAUAUUUGUAUAGAGGCACUUUCAUCUUCAAGAUCUUCCUGUGUGAUAUAUUUUGUUAUAAAUGUGACUGUUUUAUGUUAUACUGAUGUGAUUAAGAUUGUUACACUGACCUUGAUGCAUGGCUGAAAAUCUGUCAUGUUCUACUUGCACUGUUAACAGGCACUCUUUGUAUCCAUAUUAUAUACAUACCAUCUUCUGGGACCCUGCCCCCCAUAGCUGACCCAGCCCUCUGCUCAGCAUUGCUGCUCUCACCCAGGCCAGCGUCACACACAUGCCCCCUUUUUAUCAGGUUUUCUUGUUUUUAACGGGAAGUUUAUCCUUGUUAAUAAGUGAUUGGUUUUCAUCUUCAUUUAGUCAUUGUAAGCAGUUACUUUUGAAUGCUGGCCUUAUGUUUUCCAUUGCAAUAUGUCCUUUAGAUCCAUUUAUGAUAAAACUGCAUCAUAUGGCUCAAACCGUGCAGUGUCGGGUAUCAGCGACAUAAAAACAUUGCAGAAACUCCAGUACAGAAUGCGGUCGACAAAAAUGUGCUCUCCCCACUUGCCUCUUUCUCUCCACUACAGGUGGUUUCUUUUACAACCUAAUGCCGAGACCCAUACACUCACGUGACUUUCACACCAUCGGUAAAACCAAAAUAAAUUCCCAAGUGCAAUAUAUAUAUGGCCGUUACAUCCUAGCCCCUAAUUACCGUACUGUAAUAAUUACAACAGAUCACACACAAAUGUCCAUAAAAUAUUACCACAGAAUAAUAAUCUUCUUGCGAAGACAAGUCUGAGCCAGAGGUUCAAGCACAUAACCCAUUUGGGUGAUCUUUAUCACCAUCCUCUGUCAAAUAAAUAAAUUGUCAGUCACCCUCA